AUUGAACGCUGGCGGCAGGCUUAACACAUGCAAGUCGAGCGGAGAUGAGGUGCUUGCACCUUAUCUUAGCGGCGGACGGGUGAGUAAUGCUUAGGAAUCUGCCUAUUAGUGGGGGACAACAUUCCGAAAGGAAUGCUAAUACCGCAUACGUCCUACGGGAGAAAGCAGGGGAUCUUCGGACCUUGCGCUAAUAGAUGAGCCUAAGUCGGAUUAGCUAGUUGGUGGGGUAAAGGCCUACCAAGGUGACGAUCUGUAGCGGGUCUGAGAGGAUGAUCCGCCACACUGGGACUGAGACACGGCCCAGACUCCUACGGGAGGCAGCAGUGGGGAAUAUUGGACAAUUGGCGGAAGCCUGAUCCAGCCAUGCCGCGUGUGUGAAGAACGCCUUUUGGUUGUAAAGCACUUUAAGCGAGGAGGAGGCUACCUAGAUUAAUACUCUGGGAUAGUGGACGUUACUCGCAGAAUAAGCACCGGCUAACUCUGUGCCCGCCGCCGCAGUAAUAC
rnacentral:rRNA from 1 species